rnacentral:rRNA from 1 species
GACGAACGCUGGCGGCGUGCUUAAUACAUGCAAGUCGAGCGAGGCCUUGGAAUUGGAGUCCUUCGGGAUGAAGAGUCCUUGGCCUAGCGGCGGACGGGUGAGUAACGCGUGGGCAACCUACCCCAAAGUCCGGGAUAACAGUGGGAAACCGCUGCUAAUACCGGAUGGCUUUACCUGAGGGCAUCCUUGGGUAAAGAAAGGUUACGCUUUGGGAUGGGCCCGCGUCCCAUUAGCUAGUUGGUGAGGUAACGGCUCACCAAGGCGACGAUGGGUAGCCGGCCUGAGAGGGUGAACGGCCACACUGGGACUGAGACACGGCCCAGACUCCUACGGGAGGCAGCAGUAGGGAAUAUUGCGCAAUGGGCGAAGCCUGACGCAGCGACGCCGCGUGAGCGAAGAAGGCCUUCGGGUCGUAAAGCUCUGUCCUUGGGGAAGAAGGCGAAAGCUUGACGGUACCCAAAGAAGAAAGCCCCGGACUAACUACGUG